rnacentral:rRNA from 1 species
ACCGGCAGCUCAAGUGGUGGCCAUUUUUAUUGGGCCUAAAGCGUUCGUAGACGGUUUGAUAAGUCUCUGGUGAAAUUCAGCAGCUUAAUUGUGGGAGUUGCUGGAGAUACUAUUAGACUUGAGGUCGGGAGAGGUUAGGAGUACUCCCAGGGUAGGGGUGAAACCCUAUAAUCCUGGGAGGACCACCUGUGGCGAAGGCGCCUAACUGGAACGAACCUGACGGUGAGUAACUAAAGCCAGGGGAGCAAACCG